CAUUUACAUGUCCAAGGGACAGGAGGGGGUUGCUGGGUUGAAAGAAGGAGACUGUGAAUGUGGGUCUGGCAGAGCAACUUCCUCAAGCCCAGACAAAGAAAGGAUGCAAUGCCUCCCUUCCUACUAUCUCCCUUUGCCCAGCAUUGGGUUCUUUCUUCCUUACCUGCUCUUGAGGAGACUGUUGUUGUCAGAGCUCCAUUUGUAGUCUCCUCUUUGCAACCCAGACCCUGCCACCUGGGCCUGCAAGGAAGGAAGGAUUCAAUGUCAGGCAAAGGUCUGCAGAUUAAAGCCAGCCAUUCCAGAGAGAUUCAUGCUUCAGACAAAGACGAGUGAAUGGAUUGAUGUAGUUGUCACUGGAGGAAAUGCAGUAGCCCUUGUUUAUGUGCAGAUGACCAGCUGACUUGAUCUGAAUGACCUCAAAAUCUAUGAAGUCCCUAAAGGU
rnacentral:lncRNA from 11 species